UUAACACAUGCAAGUCGAACGGUGAACCAGAGCUUGCUCUGGGAUCGAGUGGCGAACGGGUGAGUAACACGUGGGCAACCUGCCCCAGACUCUGGGAUAACCUCGGGAAACCGAUGCUAAUACCGGAUACGACCACUUCGGACAUCCGACGGUGGUGGAAAGUUUUUCGGUCUGGGAUGGGCCCGCGGCCUAUCAGCUAGUUGGUGGGGUAAUGGCCUACCAAGGCGACGACGGGUAGCCGGCCUGAGAGGGCGACCGGCCACACUGGAACUGAGACACGGUCCAGACUCCUACGGGAGGCAGCAGUGGGGAAUAUUGCACAAUGGGCGAAAAGCCUGAUGCAGCGACGCCGCGUGAGGGACGACGGCCUUCGGGUUGUAAACCCCUUUCAGCAGGGGCGAAGCGAAAGUGACUGUACCUGCAGAAGAAGCACCGGCUAACUACGUG
rnacentral:rRNA from 1 species